rnacentral:lncRNA from 1 species
CAGCCAUGUGCUCGCGUAUCAUUUUACUCUGAAAUAACUCUGCGGAUUUCAGCUCAACCUGCCUUUGCUUAUAAUGCAUGACAUAGCCUGUGAGGGAGCCUGAGAACCGUCCCUCUUCAAAAGCAAGGUUCCCAUGCUUGGCCUGUAACCAUGGAAGCAGAUGCCUUUUUUGCUUACCCCUGCUUACCUCUUUGCAGCCACGAGCUGCUCCCUAUUGUUAAAAGGGGUACGCCUUGAUUUUUCUUCGUCGUGACCGAACUUGCCUCUUCUUCAAAGGGCAUGAUGCUGCAGGUCAUUGGUCUAGACUGUUUGCACGGUCCAGAGAACAGCCUUGAUGUAACCCUUGCUCCGUCUGUGCCACACCACCAGCCGCGCGACUGCAGACUGUAGGGGGACAUCGGAGAUCUGUAUUUGAAAAGAAGUCCGUCCGAUUUUGCCAUUGUGCCUUUUCAGUCAUCGAUCGAAUGAAUAUCGAACCUUCUGUCGUUGCAUGUGUGAAAUAGAUAGCUUAGCAAGCACUUUUGUGCCCAGACCUGUGCAGUGGGCCAAACUCUUCUCCUUUAUUCACAAAUAUUUUUUUUUGCAAUAUAGUAAUUUCUUAGGUACUUUAAAUACCAGCAUCCUAACGUUGGACCAGCCUCAGAAAAGAGCUUUGUUUUUUAUUCUUUUUUGCUGUAAUCUGCUUGAUGGAGCCGCUACUUAUUUGGGGUUUUAUUUUUCUUUUAAGUUCUUUCUCUUUUACCCAUUCCCAGUUGAACAUCAGCCCCCCUAGAAGUGCAAAGGAGGUUGGUUUUGCCCCAGAAUUGUGAGAGUUUUCAAAGCAAAAUACUGAUUGGAGGUUUGAGGCUUUAAAAAUAACAGAGGGAAAGAAAAAAGAAGAAGGAGGGGGGGGGGGGGGACGACUUGGAAAGCUUCCAACAUAUAUCCAAUAUGUAAGAAAUCCAGAAGAUACGGUAAAUUUUAAAAAGAUUAUAAAUAAAAUAAGUAGCUGUAAGAAAAGACAGGCAUUAUAAUAGAUAAAUGACCUGGAAGCAGUGGCUUAAAACCUAAAAGAAUCACAUCUUAUUUCUUUCCUAGAUAUACUAAUAUACUGGAUGUACUCCAUAUAUUACUAUACUAAGACAAGUAACUUGGAAAAUUAAGAUCUGAUAGUAUGAGAACUCUAAAACACUUCUCACUCUUCUGUACUAUUGUACAAAUAUUUUAAGUAGUGACAUGCCAGCUUACUUUCUUUUUUUUUAUUUUUAAGGGCUAAUUUAAUUUUAAAAAAAUUGUAUCGAUAGACGUCCAAAACCCAACAAGAAAUUCUGAAAAUCUUGCUAAGUCAGUGAGAAAAUGCAGCUGAAGUGCUCAACCAAAGAGUUCAACAGGACUCCAGGAACUGCAGGGUUGGGGGAGAUGCUCUAAUACCUUAGAACAGAAGAGCCAGAAAUGUAUGGAAAAUGAUACAUUCUUGAAAUCAAUCGGUAAGCAAGUUUUUCCUCUUCUUUUAAUAGAACGGCAAACUCUCUGACCGCUGCCUGUCAAAAAACAAUAACCCAGUGACAGCCAUCAGCACCUACUCAUUGAAAAAUAUGCCCGUCUCUACUCUGUUCUAAUAAAAUGCGGAUUGCAUCAAAAAGGGAAUAUUCUUCAGGGUGUUGCUUACCCAGUGUUGUCUGUAUAUGACAUCAGUAUAUAUAUUUUUGAGAUACUACUAUCUCGUACUUCAAGGCAUACCUAUUUUCUCUAAUUGCCAGAGGCUAAGGGGAGGUGCACUAAAGAAUAAAGAAGGUUAUUGUGACAGAUGAAACAUAAUUCACAAUGAGUACUCUUUUCAUCCAGCCUUAAGUAGCAGAGGAUUACUCCGAGCUGAAUUUUAGGGGAGUAUGUAUGAUCUGAUUUAAUAAUAUGAGGACAGGCCACAAGCUGGAAGGCAAUAUAAACCAAUUAUGCUUUUGCUGAAUGUUUGGGGGGUUUUGUUGUUGUUUUUGGUGUUUUUUUUCCCUCUUCUUUUCUGGAAGGUGAAGAAAUGUUAACGUGAAGAGUGUCUGAAGAAACACGAGGAAAAGUAAGAAGUGCCGAGAAAUAAAAGUUGGGAUUUUCUGGAAUGGAUAUUGAUAAAUGAUUAUUCUAUAUUUCUGCUUCAUGACACUUAAAUGAAAUAAGACCAUGCAAUUUCUUCAGUAAACAUGCGCUGUGAAAACAUGAGUCUCCUGCCCUUGGAAGAAGAAAGUGGGAAGCAGCAAAAAGAGACUGUGUGUAGGCAGAGGAGAAGCAGACAAAAUGAGUCAGGCUGCCAGACUGCCAAGACCUUCUUGGAACAAAUGAUGAGGAAACCUGCACUAAGAACAGUAGAAGAAAGCUAUUAGAAGGUUAAAACACACCCAGAACCUAAGUAUUAUGAAUUUAUGGCAAUUGGUGCAACUCUGAAGUGAGAAAGGUGCUGCUGACAGGCUAUUAUAGAGGGCAAACUGGGGCAGAAGACAAAGAAAGGUCUCUUGAAACAUGGUAUUAAAAAGGAGCAGGCACUGAAGUUGGUGUAGGUGCAGAUUUUAAAACAUCCAAAUUUACAGUGGGUUGCCAGUGGCCUAUGUUACCAUUUGGUGAUCUCCAACAAAGACCAAGAACAAAGACAAGAGGGUACAAAUACAACCAGUGCAAGCCAAACCCAGAAGAAAACGGGGGGUGGCCACCUCUCACAGAGGUGGAAUCAUAUUGACCAGCAUCCUGCCUCUUCAAGUAGAAGCACUUUGCACACUUACCUCUAUAUAUACAUAUAAGAUAAUAUAUACAUAAAAGAUUAAGGGUAUGUCUGUCAUUUAACUAGCUAUACAACCUGCUGAAACAAAGAUAUUCAAGCUGCAAAACCCAAGGAUGUAAGUCCAAAUUGUGGUUAUGGUCAGAAAGCAACCUAGUCCACAAAUUACUUCAUGAAAAAGAGCUGCUAAAACUGAACUAAGUUUUUUGCUGUUGUCAGAGGAUAGCCCACUGCUGAGACAGCCUUCAGAAUGCUGCUGCACUUCUGCUAUAAUGGAUUUUAAGUUUAUGAUGCACUCUCAAAAUCAUUUCAG